ACUCCUCCUCCAUGCCCAGGGACCGCGGGUGCUUGGGGCCCCGACGCGUACCCAGGUGCCAUCUGGCCCUCACCUCCCGCCGUAGCUGGCUGUGACGCCCGCCAUGGGCACACUGGGGCAGUGCAGUGAGAAGACGAGGAUGCCCAGCAGGCUGACAACGGUGCAGAACAGGCAGAACUUGAUGACCGCGGAGCCCCGGAGCCUGAGCUUGUUCACAAAGAAGCCGCCCAGGAAGGUGCCGCCACCACCCGCUGGCACCACCAGGGCAGCCACACCCCCUCCUCCCCCAGGGGCCUCUGCCGAGUCCCUGCAGGCUGUGACAAGGACAUUUGUCGAAGCCUGAGUGGCCACCAACAGUAAAAAAUUGCGAUUAGCUGGCAUCUAGCUUCUGGGCUGACAAGUGAGGAGGGCACAGAUAGUGGACCCUGGAAGGGUAGAGCGCGGUAGAUUGGCGGUGGUGGCCCACAUGCCUGGCACCUCUGCCAUGGCCCAGGGUACUCUGUGAACGCUGGCAGGAGGAGCAGCUCUGAGGAGGGGUCCCCACUUUCUGCAGACCUGCCCAGCCUGGGAAGGCCAGCCUGCCUCUGGCACCGAGAAACCCCCAGCUGCACUGUUCCAGGAGGUCCUGAGGCACCAGUGCCUGGCUCAUGGAACAGCCAGGUCCAAACCCUUCCUGCACCAAGUCACAGAAGCCAAGACUAGGUGGCUAGGGGGUGGAGCCCACCGUGGACCCUUCCACCUACGGAGCAUGUCCCACAAAGAGGGCAGGACCACCACUCUCCCGGCCUGUGGACAGAGUCGCUCAGCCCCCGUGGCGCUCUCCACACCUGCUCUGGCAGCGGGGGUGGGAGGGCACUCACUGCCAUGUGCCCUGUCUGGGUCUUUCUAGAAGAUGCCCUUGAAGACUCUGUUUCUGAGAACUGACAUAAAAGCAGAGGACCCCCAAGAUUCAGUUUUCUCACCAAACAAGGUGGCAGCUUCUGAGGCACUCAGGCUGAACUGGGACUCCAAGAACUUGGGGCUGAACGUGGACAUGCCGGUGAUGAGAGUGGCCUCGGUGGCCCCGGCCAGGCAGAGCAGGAUGAACGUGGGGUUCUUCAGCAGGAGCCAGAUGGAGCUGGGCAGAGGUGGGGGUGUGGAGAAGAGACUGAGGGUCAGAGUGGUGGGCAGAGGUCGGGGUGUGGAGAAGAGACUGAGGGUCAGAGUGGUGGGCAGAGGUCGGGGUGUGGAGAAGAGACUGAGGGUCAGAGUGGGCCAGACCCAGGGUGGGAGGAACCUGCUGUUCCUGAGGCUGUCAGCUCCCCGGUCUGAUUACAAAGGGCCCCUGUUCCGACAGGGAGUAGAGUGGGGUGCAGGCAGGUGGGGGACACCCACACUUAUUCCAGAGAAACCCAGGGGGCGCCAGGCUGAGCCUAUGCCUGUGGCCCACUUGUCCUGAAAGCUGCAGUCCCUGAUUAGGGAAAAACCUUAUCAGUGCCUUGGCCAGAGCUUCAGCUCAGGUGGGGAGAGACCCCAAGUGACCCAGGACCCUGUUCCGUCACUGGCCAGCAGCAGGGCCUGAAAAAGGGAACUGGCUGGGGCAGGCAGAGGCCACCAAGUCCAGGACCGGACAGGCCCUGGGAUAGGGGAAUGGAAUCACGGGAAUGGGGACUGUGGCCAGUCCCCAACCGCCAGCCCCUGGGAGAAGUGGGGCAGGAAGCCACUGGGAUUCGAACCCUCCAUGCAAGAAGCCCCUGGGUAGACGGACCUGGCUAGCUUGGUUUGCACUUGGGGGCCAGUGGCCCUGGGGGUGGUGAGGCCUCAACUGGGGCGAGUCCUUGGUGCAUGGGCCUGGAGCCCUGGGGGGAACUGUGGGAACUCUGAGCCGUCUGGCCCUGAGGGCUCAGCCUCAGCCUCCACAUCUGCCUGUUGCGGUCCUGGCUGUGGGGUCUCAGGAUAAGGACAUAGCCCCCUGGAAGCUGGGAAGGCCCCACAUCAGGCCUUGCAGUUUCUAACCCAGGAGGUGGCCGACAGCAGUGCGUCGGGGCUGCCUGUCCCUGCACACGAGGCCCUGGGGGGUGAAUGGAGGCUCUCCCUGUUUUUGUUAGCAUUGGAGGCCUGAGCAGGGCUAACGCCCAACCGCUGCUUAAGCGCAUAAGAUGCUGAGAUGGAAAACGUGUUGCAUGGUGUAAACCACGCAAAGCCCUCCCAGCCAGUGCAGUGAUCGAGGCAGACAGAAGGGAAACCGCCUCUGCAAAGAGAGGCUCGGCUCUCUCUGGGGUACACAGAUCACCCAGACUGGGCAAAGCUCACAUUCAUCCCAGCUCACAGCUGCCUGCAUCCUGUUCACAGCACGCUCCUGUGCGUGACCCUUCUCCCCCACUGAGUGGGGGGCUCUCGGCCUCAGGUGGGGGUGUUUGCAGACACAGCUAUUGUCCUGUCCCUGGAACUCAUAACAUAGACCAGGGGCAGAGACUGUUCCUGAAGCCCCAGGUCAUGGCACAAUAGCCUCUCACAUCAGCCCACAGUAAUGCAAAUUUUCACAAUAAAUGACAUGUCCAUGUCGCCUCUGCUCACACCGCAGUGUCGCUGACUUGAACCCCUGCGUCUGCAGCUUAGUGACAUCCUGUAAACCUACACUUUCCAGCCUCUCACCAGAGCAGACUGUCGGCCUCACAUCACCCCCACCUGCAGGAGGGCGGCUCUUUCCUCUCGGCCACACCUAGAGCCUGGUUCCGAUGAACGCAACUCUGAAUGCCUGGAACAUUCAAAUGCUCUUGUUUGAGGAGGUGGCCAAAUGUAAAUGGAUUCUGAAGAAUCAGGAACAGACGGUGCAGCCCUAGUUAGCCUCUGAGCCCCAACAGGCCCACAGGUGCCUUGCAGAGCUGAUGUUGGCGUCAGAAACUCCGCUCCAGCCUCACAGGCACUCUGCCUGCUUGGAGGUGUUCGCUGGCUCGCUCAGACUGACCUCAGCAGCCAUGAACAUGGGUUCUUUCUGUCCCCUUCCCUGAUUAAAAUGGGAGAGCCCAGUUCUUUCAAAAUUUAUUUCCUGACUUGAGGAUUGAAAAGCCUCUUCUUUCUGGUUAACUACUUGGGUCCCACGUCUUGAAAAAGGCAAGACGAUGGAGGACAAAGGAGACCCCAGCCCAUGCCCUCCCUUCCCCAGCCAGUUCUGGCAUGUGGGGUGACAGACCUGGGGUGGGCACCCUGGGGGGGGUCCCGGCGUGUGGGGGGAUGGGGCUGGGGUGGGCACCCUGGGGGGGUUCUGGCGUGUGGUGUGACGGGGCUGGAGUGGGCACCCUGGGGGGGUCCUGGCAUAUGGGGGGAUGGGGCUGGGGUGGGCACCCUGGGGGAGUCCCUCCCUGGGGCUUUUCCCAGACCUGCCCAGGCUCCGGGGUGUGUGGCUGCGUUAGGAGGCCCUGACUCUCUGAAAUGCUAUGCAAACUUCAUUUCUUAAUCACUGAUUGCUCGGCUGAAAUUCUCGUGUUGAAUUUGCCCAGAGAAUUAGUCAUGACUUUAAUAAAGGGAACAUGUCCCAUGAUUUAUUUCUUCCCAGCAACUGGUUUAGGGAACUAACCCUGGACAUAAACCUCCUUAUCACCUGAUGAACUGAAAGAGCCCCAGGGUUCCUAGGUCCACACUGGGGGCUCACAGCCACGCUGGGAACAGGGCGCCUGACCCUCAGCUCUAAGCCGCUCUGCUGCUGGGUGGAGGAGAGAGGUGCAGCAAGACAGCAAAGCAAGGCCGGACCACACUCAGCAGAAAGGGAAGGCAGCCAAGGCAGACGGCAAAGCAAGCAACCUCCCCAGAGGGGUCACGACAGAGGUUAGGGGCUGCGUCCCCAUCAUGAUCCCGGAGGGGUCUCAACGACUCCCCCAAGAUGGGGACCAUUAAAGGGUCUGAGGACACUAGGAACCCUCCCGACUCCGGUCCUUACAGAGGCAGCCCUCGCAGCCCCGGGGAGGCGGCACUGGAACAGAAACCACGUGAGAAUGCAGCACAAGCCGGGUUUGGAGGUGUGGGAGAGCUGGGGCCCAAAGUGGGGCUGGGGGAAGGAGGGGAUGGAGGCCCUGCCCUGAUUGGGACAAGCCUGUUCCGUGGCCUGAGGGGGAGAAGCCGCUGGGGCAGAGGGGAGGCCACAGGACAGGAUGGACACACAACCUGCCUUGUGCCACAGCCAGGAGGCGUCUCUCCACCCAGAUGGGAAGAACACUGAGAAUGAGGGUGUGCCGCAGACUUGAUCAUGGCGGGGAAAAAGACAGCAGAGGAAACGGGGUGCCCCCUUCGCGAAGACUAAGGGACAGUCUCCCAAUGUGAAGGCUGGGCUGGGGAAGGGAAACCCACCUGGCAGCUGCCGAGGGUAACCAAGGAUGGGAACGGCGGUGAAGAAAGCAGCGGCCCCAGAGCCCAGGAAGCCGACCCACCAGGCGCCGACCCACAGUGGGCUCUCGGUGGUCAGCUCCGUCCUGUGGAAGAGGCAGUGGCACCUGGGUCAGCGUGCAGCCCACCUGUGCCCUCCAUGGCACACACACUGGGGGCUGCUGGCCCCUCCUCCGGGCAGACCUCCAGGGUCUGUCUGCACGCUGGUCAACACAGGCCCCUGGUGCUGCUGGCCACAGGUCCUGUCCCUUCCUUGCAGACUAAAGCAAACACCACCUUGGCUUAGCUGUCCCCCAAGACAGAUGGCUCCAUGCCUUGGCCCACGCUCCAGGGCUGGAGAUGCCACCUGUGGCCUGGUCCUGAGACCACGGUGGGGUUGGGCACUAAGAGGAGCAGCCUCUCCAGGCAACAGCGGGAGGAGGCAUCCCUCCCCACAGUGCAGAGGAUGACAGAUGGGGUUCCCAGGGACGCCAGAGGGCUCAGCUGGAGCUCACUGAGAGCUCCCCACGAAGGGACUGUUGUGCACGUGGCAAUUUGCACAUAAGUGCUUUCAAACGAAAAGGCGAGUGGAAAAUAACCAUGGGCUGAGGCGGCCGUGGAGUGGUAGAAGCCCAUCCAAGCUCUGGGCAUCCAGGGACGCGUCUUCACAGUGAGGACAAGCUCUGGGCUUUCGGGGAUGUGUCUUCACAGUGAGGCAGCGGCGGGAGGGCAAAAGGCCAGCAAAGGCCGGGAGCAGAGCCGCAGAGACAGACAGAGGACACAGGGAGCGCCAACACCCUGCAAGGCUGCAGCCAGGCGGCACCUGCUUGCUCCAGCGCAGAAAUGCUGCGGCCGCCUCCGGGGGCCAGACCCCGCUCUGCCUCCCCACUUUGUGCAAAGUGGGCCCAGAUCCCGGAGCCAGAAGGGGCACAGAGACUGAGAGAAGCAUCCAGACCCGGGACACGAGCUCCAGCCUACCUCCAGGCUCUGCCCAGAACGCACACACUUGACCCCACAUUAUCAAUCCGAGGCCAGAGGGGCUUUUGUAAGAGGUCAGAGUGCUAGAGACCUCCAGGAGAGGCGCCAUCUGCAGAAAGAGUCCCAAGGUGCAGCGGUGCCCAGGCCGAGUAACAGAGGACCUUGGAAACUUCACAAGUGCAGGAUGGGCAAGGGAUGAAUGGGGGGCCCAAACCCACAGAGCACUGGCGGUCAGCAAGGACAUGUCUCCUCUGCCUCCCCAUCUCCAUCUGUCUCUGUCUCUCUCUGCCUGUCGCUGUCUUCUUUCUGUCCCUCUGUAUCUCUAUCUCCAUCUGUCUCUGUGAAUUGGUCUGUCUCUACGUGUCUUUCCCUCUGUCUCUCUCUGCCUCUCCCUCCACCCCUCCUUGCUUUCUCCUGCUUACAUUUACAGAAACUAGGGUCACACACACAAGAUACAAAGAAAGGAAAAGAAACAGAAAAAUCUCAGUUUCAUUAGGGAACUAGUGGCCAGGGCUCGCUGGGCUUUGCAAGCGCUUAGGCCUCGGGCACUGCCUGCCUGCCCUGCCUCCUGCCCUGGGGCCGACUCCCAAGGCCCCUACAGAUCCUCCGAGUCCUCCAGAGCCAAGGCCAGCCUUGACUCCCUCCAGCCCGGGGGGUGCCCAGCACCUGCGCCGCGCCCGGCCUGACUCAGAGUGGGCCCUGCUGACUCUGAACCCCCUUCCAGAGACACGUGGGCCUCUCCAGCGCAGGCAGCUGGGUGCGCGGCCACUCACCGUCGGCCCAUUUCCGUGUAGAUAUUCAGCAGGGCACCUCCAAUCAGGUAGCCGGCAGCUGGGCCCAGGAUGGCCGCUGUGUAGAAGAUGGCUGCGAGAGAGGCAGAGGCGUCAGGGCCGCUGUGCACCACCCAGGGGCUGCGGAGGGCCGUGUGGGGCCCCGUGCCUGGGAGAAGCCCCGCACCCGCCAUUCUGCAUCUCCGGCCCACUCCCCUCAUGGGCCUCUUUAAGUUAGAUGAGUCUGUGCAGUUGCCACUGGGCCUGAUAUGGGUCAGCAUCAAUCUUUAAAAAUCCCCCUCAAAGCCAAGUGCACUGUCUUUCCCUUACGAAAGGGCAAAGGCCCUCGAAGCCCCGUUUGCAGGGCGUCUAAGUAGCCGCACAGAUGGACACUGGCAGGAAUUAGGGGCCCAGGGUGGGGAAAGGGACCAGAGAGGCCUGAGCCCCUCCGCCCAGCCACGCUCACUCUCCCACAGGCCGGGAUUUGGAAGGCUCGGUGUGGUGGGACGUCCCCUCGCUGGAGUGAGGUGAUCUCAACACCCGCCUGGGUUCUUGGGACGAGCACUGCCAGGUGACUGGGAUGAGCAGAGCUCAAGGAGGACAUGAGGAGGCUGAGGUCACUGCAGAGUCCGGCUGGGGCCAGCUGCUCCCCGUGACCAUCCUACGAUGCCCUUCCCGGGAGAGCCAAGCCAGGCAGGGGGACGCCGAGAAGUGGGGUCAGGCGGGCCGUGCACUGGGUCAACUCGGCCAUGUCGGACGGGCCAUGGGGCUUCCCUACAUCUCAACAAACAGGAGCAGGAAGCCAGUGAGGGGCCCAGGGCUGCCCCAGGGCAGUGAGCUCAGCUGCCUAGCAUAGAGUUAUAACAUAGAUCUUUACUCUUAGAUAGCUGUGAAGCAGCCAUGAGCUGCUUCAUGUUAUUUUUCCCCUUAAAGUUCUGACUCUCCAGAUUUGCUCGGUCUUUUCCACACCCCUAUGUGGCUGCCGGAGCAGACACGGUGCUUACGGGCAGACGUGGGUGUGGUCUCAGGGCUCUGUCCCUCCACCUCUAUGUGGCUGAUGGAGCCAACAUGGUGCUUUCAGGGAAACAUGGGUGUGGCCUUGGGGCUCUGUCCCUCGUCACUUAUCCCACAUCAAACUCCUUCCCAGGCAAGUGCCAGGUUCCCAGCCGGAGCAUGAGGUCUGCCGCCAUUGGACCUGGUGCCACCCAGCGCCUAGUGACUGUGCCCCUUGGUCCUGGCAAGGUGGGCUGGACACCACGCAGGGGUUGCACUGAGGCUCCCGGGCACAGCGGCCUGGAGCCCUGAGCAGGGUCCACAUGAGAAAGCCGGAGUCCCUUACAUCAGCUUUGGGCCUCAGGGCGGACCCUCCUCCCCUGCCAACUCUUGCAGCAGCCCCAGGGCCAUGCAGACAAGGGGUACACGAAGGCAGGGGGCGGGGCUGGCUCCGGCCAGUUACCCUCACUCCUGCAACACUGCCCUCAGCCACCCCUGCCAGCACUUACCCCGCCAGCCCCACUCACCAAUGUAGACGGGCGAGCAGCUGGACUUGACGUUCUCAUCCAGGUAGGUGACGCCCAGCGUGUAGAGGGGUGUGGCACCCACGCCAUGCAGGAACUGGCCCAGCAUGAAG
rnacentral:lncRNA from 1 species